UACGAAGGGUCCAAGCGUUAUCCGGAUUUAUUGGGUUUAAAGGGUGCGUAGGCGGGUUGUUAAGUCAGUGGUGAAAUCUUGCAGCUUAACUGUAAAAUUGCCAUUGAUACUGACGAUCUUGAGUACACUUGAAGUGGGCGGAAUAUGUCAUGUAGAGGUGAAAUUCUUAGAGACGACAUAGAACACCGAUUGCGAAGGCAGCUCACUAAAUUGUAACUGACGCUGAGGCACGAAAGCGUGGGGAUCAAACAGG
rnacentral:rRNA from 1 species